ACGAACGCUGGCGGCAGGCUUAACACAUGCAAGUCGAACGCCCCGCAAGGGGAGUGGCAGACGGGUGAGUAACACGUGGGAACAUGCCCAAAGGUACGGAAUAUUCUCGGGAAACUGGGAGCAAUACCGUAUGUGCCCGAAAGGGGAAAGAUUUAUCGCCUUUGGAUUGGCCCGCGUCGGAUUAGCUAGUUGGUGGGGUAAAAGCCUACCAAGGCGACGAUCCGUAGCUGGUCUGAGAGGACGACCAGCCACACUGGGACUGAGACACGGCCCAGACUCCUACGGGAGGCAGCAGUGGGGAAUCUUGGACAAUGGGCGAAAGCCUGAUCCAGCCAUGCCGCGUGGAUGAUGAAGGCCCUAGGGUUGUAAAAUCCUUUCGUUGGGGACGAUAAUGACGGUACCCAAAGAAGAAGCUCCGGCUAACUUCGU
rnacentral:rRNA from 1 species